rnacentral:lncRNA from 1 species
CCUCUAUUCUUCCCCUCUUCUCAAAUCAAAUUGUAUUGGUCACAUACACAUGGUUAGCAGAUGUUAUUGCGAGUGUAGUGAAAUGCUUAUGUAAAUCAAUCUCCCCUCUCCUCCUUCUCCUCCUCUGUUCCCAUGUGUUCUCCCCUCUCCUCCUCCUCUGUUCCCAUGUGUUCUCUCCUCCUCCUCUGUUCCCAUGUGUUCUCUCCUCCUCCUCUGUUCCCAUGUGUUCUCUCCUCCUCCUCUGUUCCCAUGUGUUCUCUUCUCCUCCUCUGUUCCCAUGUGUUCUCUCCUCCUCCUCUGUUCCCAUGUGUUCUCUUCUCCUCCUCUGUUCCCAUGUGUUCUCUCCUCCUCCUCUGUUCCCAUGUGUUCUCUCCUCCUCCUCUGUUCCCAUGUGUUCUCUUCUCCUCCUCUGUUCCCAUGUGUUCUCUUCUCCUCCUCUGUUCCCAUGUGUUCUCUUCUCCUCCUCUGUUCCCAUGUGUUCUCUUCUCCUCCUCUGUUCCCAUGUGUUCUCUUCUCCUCCUCUGUUCCCAUGUGUUCUCUCUUCUCCUCCUCUGUUCCCAUGUGUUCUCUCCUCUUCUCCUCCUCUGUUCCCAUGUGUUCUCUCCUCUUCUCCUCCUCUGUUCCCAUGUGUUCUCUCCUCUCCUCCUCCUCUGUUCCCAUGUGUGUUCUCCUCCUCUGUUCUCUCCUCCUCCUCUGUUCCCAUGUGUUCUCCCCUCUUCUCCUAGUGUCCAGAGAUAGAAGGAACACAUACACUGUAUCACAACCGGCCGUGAUUGGGAGUUCCAUAGGGCGGCGCACAAUUGGCCCAGCGCCGUCCGGGUUAGGGGAGGGUUUGGUCGGGGUAGGCCGUCACUGUAAAUAAGAAUUUGUUCUUAACUGACUUGCCUAGUUUAAAUAAAAUGUUAAAUAAACAAAGGCUGCAGAAUGUGACCUCUGAGAUGUCUGACCUCUCCGUUUAGUCAGGGAUGUCAUGUUGUCAUCCUCGCUAUCACGGCACCAGUAAUUGCCACAGUGAAAUUUAUUUGUGAAACACCAUUUAGUAACUUAUUGUUUUCCACAUAUAUUGUCCUCUUAAAAAAAAAAUAAACAUCCAAAUAGUACAGAAAUACUUGUUUAUUUGUUCUUGUCUUUUAUCAACAGGACUUGGGGAUGGACUACUGUGUGGUCGCAGAAUCCUUUGAGACAUCGGUGCCUUGGGACAGUCAUUUUGAAGAGCUCAGCACCCUCUCCCACUCUCUCUCUCAUACACACCUGCCUUCUCCCUCCAUGAACUGGUUGUGUGUGUGGAAAGGAAGACCUGACACUGCUGGGGGAGAGAGGGAUGGAGUGAGACACGGCCAGUAGGACACAGAUGGACCGUGAAUCUCCAACAUUAUUGGGGUAUUGGACCUUUGCCAGAAUGUCAAAGAGAGAAUUGUCAGAGAGUGUAGAGAAAGAGGAGUCCAGUUUCAACCUUUGACCUCAUGCAGAGUGACUCAGACCUAUGACUCUGGUGCAUGUAUAUACUUCUACUUUGCCUUCAACUACAGAGGACUGGCGGAUCCAGUACACACAUACCAACAAGUGGAGCAUGCUGCCAGAGAGGAGAUCCUAGCCAAUGGAGGAAGCCUCUCGCACCACCAUGGAGUUGGGAAACUUCGGAAGGAGUGGAUGAAGGACAGCAUCUCUAACGUGGGCGUCGGGAUGCUCAAGUCCGUUAAGGAAUACGUGGACCCGGAAAACAUUUUCGGCAACCGAAACCUCCUCUAAUUUACAUGACAUUUUAUAACAGCCUCUUGGAAUAAUGGUUACUAAAUGUGACAAGAAGUAUCAAUGUCUUUCACCUUCGGUAUGACUUAGUCAGUUGUGCAGUCAACAUCAGUCAGAUAACUUGCCUUGCAUUACAUUACUGCACUUAACAUGCUGUAACAAUAAUUGUCUGUGAUUCAUUUCGAAGCUCAUGGCAUCAAGUCCUCAGUAAUGUCCUCAACCAGGAUGAUAUGGUGAAUGAAGCAGUCAGGUCCUCAGUAAUGUCCUCAACCAGGAUGAUAUGGUGAAUGAAGCAGUCAGGUCCUCAGUAAUGUCCUCAACCAGGAUGAUAUGGUGAAUGAAGCAGUCAGGUCCUCAGUAAUGUCCUCAACCAGGAUGAUAUGGUGAAUGAAGCAGUCAGGUCCUCAACCAGGAUGAUAUGGUGAAUGAAGCAGUCAGGUCCUCAGUAAUGUCCUCAACCAGGAUGAUAUGGUGAAUGAAGCAGUGUAUCAUACUAACGAUAGUACUGUUGAUCAUUUCAGUCACGUGUAUACAACACGCCGUAAGAAUGGCCUUUUCAUAUUGUACAUGAUGCAGGUUAACUUUUUGUGAUCCCAUAUUUGCCUACAAUUUAAUUGUUUCCUAUAAUUCUUGCCAAUUUCAUUAACUAGAUAUUUUUUUGGUAGAUGUUUAUUUACCUGUGUUUGGCACUACUUGAACAGUGAGUUCUAGAUGAAUGCUUUUUCUAAAGCUCUGUGCCUUUCUGAAGAUGUCUAUCUUCACCCUUUCCUACACACACACACUGUGGAAGCUUGACUGGUUUGUUUAUGGCAUCCUAUAUCUUCCCUUAUAAUGUGCGUGUCCUUCAUUCUAGAUUUCCUGUUUUCCAGUGGGUCUUUGUUUCUCUACUCAAGCCUUGUAUUACUUAUACUAUUAAUGAUUGCUAAGAGAUGUGUAUUUUGUUGUACCGACCUAGGAGGAUUUAUAUUACGUUGAAAGUCGUGCCUCUGCUGAAAAUGUACCUCAGGGUAAAAAUGUCCCUCAAACCCAAACGUUAAACUGUUUGAAGAAACUAGGAUAUGAUGCUUAACAACUUAUUUUUUUAAUUGAUGUUUUAUUUUAGAUUUGACCUUGCAUGGUCUUUGCCUGUCAUACAGAGUUCAGUUUGUGGACAAUGUACUUGAAUCAUACAUGCUUUUAGUGUGAACAUGUUACAGACGACUGAAUCCCAAAACCCAUGUUUGUACCAAAGACUUUCAGCACAACUGUUUCACUGCUUUAUACAGACCAUGCAAACAUCCUGGAUGUAUAGGUCUGUACAUGCUGUAUAGUUAAAUGUAUGGGACAUUCAUACAGUUAAUACAUGAACCUAUAACCUGAUUAUACAUAUUUUUAUUCAAUUCAGAUAUGCAAAUUUACAAAUAUCAAAAUGUGUUCAUAUUUGUUACUUUAAAUGUUACAUGUUCAUGUCAAUGAAAAACAUUUUCUUUAAAUUCAAUUACAAUAUUUUGUCACUACUUUAAAAAAAAACAAUUGCCUACAAGCAAGAGAGGUUGUAUUUAGACAAAAAUACAUCCGACUAAAUUGUCUGUUCCCUGGUGAGGGUCCCAGUGUUGUGGUUUUGUUGGAAAGGAUACAUUUGAGUGAAAGAUAAUUGUACCUUUGUCACAAUUUACAGAUGAUUAUGCGUAUAAGUUUGGCGUCUUUGCGAGGCAUGUGUCGAUGUUGUGCCCAAUCCUAAAGUCAGACAUGGGAUUCUACUGUACGGUGCUAGACUAAGAUACAUGAAAUGUAUUGCUACCGUUUUCCUGUCACUACUGCGUGACUGUGUUCCUCCUGUUCUCAGCCUCGCAGUUUUCCCACAGUGCAUUGUCACCUUCCUGCCCAAGUAUCUCACCUCUCCACCUCCAAUGAACAUGUUGUCAAAGGAAAUGGUGGAGCCGGAGACAGCGUUUUAUCUAAUCAGUUUCAUGCUUUUACUUCCUGUGAUGGUUCCUGAAAGAGAACUUAAAUGAGAGCUUGAAAUCUGAAUGUUAUGCAUGUACUUUUUUUUGUGUUAUUUUUCAAUUCUUAAAGUUAUUAACAUUUAAGUACCUUUUAUCAAUGAUGUUUGUGCAGUAAAUACAUUGAAAUAAAACAAGCAGUAGUCUGGAUAUUUUUCAGAUAACAGAAUGACACCAAUCGGUUGAAUAGAAAUGCAGUUGACAGGAAAUGUCUCUGUUUGUCCGUGACGUAAUGCAUAUUCAUAAUAAAGUUCAACAUACGAG